UACGUAGGGUGCAAGCGUUGUCCGGAAUUAUUGGGCGUAAAGAGCUCGUAGGCGGUCUGUCGCGUCUGCUGUGAAAACCCGAGGCUCAACCUCGGGCCUGCAGUGGGUACGGGCAGACUAGAGUGCGGUAGGGGAGAAUGGAACUCCUGGUGUAGCGGUGGAAUGCGCAGAUAUCAGGAAGAACACCGAUGGCGAAGGCAGUUCUCUGGGCCGUAACUGACGCUGAGGAGCGAAAGUGUGGGGAGCGAACAGG
rnacentral:rRNA from 1 species